UUAAUUGAUUCAGGUGUUGCUCCUGGAUUCAGGCAUCAGUGGGAUUCUUCAGCUGCAAAAUAAAAAACAGAACCUGAUGGAACAGCUAGCUGAGAUCUCAAAAAUACAGAGUGUAGCAAGAAUUCAGUGAGAUGGAAUGGAUCCCGAACCGUGUCUAAGUUGAAUUUAACUCUUGGCUGUGGUGGAUUUUCAAAAUUUAAGAAACAGGAUCACGGAAUGAUUGAAAAGGACAUUAAAGACUGUCCAGUCCUAACCCUCCACCACCAUGGGCAGAGACACCUUCUGCUACACCAGGUUGUUUGAAGCCCCAUUUAACCUGGCCUUGAACACUGCCAGGAAUGGGGCAUCCACAACUUUUCUGGGCAACCUGUUCCAGUGCCUCACCACCCUCACAGAAACAAUUUCUUCCUUAUAUCUAAUCUAAACCUACUGUCUUUAAAGACAUUAACCCUUGUCCCAUCACGACAUGCCCUUGUAAAAAUUCCAGUUCUCCUGUAGGUCACCCUUUAGGUACUGAAAGGUGCUGUAAGGUCUCCACAGAGCUUUCUCUUCUCCAGGCUGAGCAACACCAACUGUCUCAACUUUUCCUCAUAGAAGAGGUGCUCCAUUCCUCCAAUCAUCUUCAUUGAGCUUCUCUGCACUCGCUCCAGCAGGUCCACAUGCUUCUUAUGGUGGGGAUCCCAGGGCUGUCUACAGUAGAUGUGAGAUCUCAUGAGAGCAGAAUAGACAUGGAGAAUCACCUUCCUUGACCUGCUGGCCAUUCUGCUUUUGAAGCAGCCCAGGAUACAGUUGGCCUUCUGGGCUGCAAGAGCACAAUACCAUGUCACAUUGAGCUUCUCAUCAGCCCACACCACCAAGUCCUUCUUGGCAGGACUGCUCUCAGUCCAUUCUUUACCCAGCCUGUAUUUGCGCUUCGGAUUUCCCCAAAUCAGAUGCUGGACCUUGCACUUGGCCUUGUUGAAAUUCAUUGGGUUCAUACAGGUCCACAACCCAAGCCUAUCAAGGUCCUUCUGGAUGGCAUCCCUUCCAUCCAGUGUAUCAAACUCACCACACAGCUCGGUGUCACCAGAAAACUUGCUGAGGGUGCACUCGAUCACACUGUCUGUGUUGCCAACAUAGAUGUUAAACAGCACCGGUCCCAAUCUUGACCUCUGAGAAAUUAUUUUUUAUUAAGUAUUUGAUGUAGUAUUAUCCAGUAGAAAUAAUUUCAUCCCCUAGUAUUACCUGAUUUUUCAGAGGGUUAGGGAACACACAGUUUCAAGUAAAAUAAGAGGAGCUAAAAGUUCUUCUGAAAAUCACUCAUGUCCACUACUACAUUCAGUCAGUUGUUGGAUUAUGAUAUGAUAUUUUCUUCCAAGGUUCAUACCUGUGUCAAAUUUUUAACAAAAAUUCAGUCCUGAUUCACCGGAAUGUUUAAGCAUACACUUAUUAUUGAAAUCUGUAGUCAAGGAAAACAUCCACAAGCUUGGUUUGAUACAAAUGCUUAAGUUUUUUUGUAAGAAAUUUUAACAAGUGCUUGAAAUGAUCAUCAUUUGCCUACUUAAAAUGAAGUAAAAAAAGAAUAAAUUACUUUCAUUUAAAUAAGAUAUUUCUAGACUGCCAAGAACAUAUCGAAAUACAAAACUGCUAAUUCUUACAAAGGACCAUUGAAACUUCUACCUAAAUCAAAUUCAAUAUUGGAGAUUUCAAAACAUUUUCAAUACUACUAAUUCUCAUCAGACAUUCAUUACUGAAUUCCUAUGUGCAACUUAAAAAUUUUGCUCUGAUCAUGAUCAAUCAGAAAUAGGGAUUUACAGUUAUUAUCAAAAGUGAGAACAUACUUAGAGUUACUUAAGACAUCAAAAAUUUUCUGAAUAAAGCAGUUAGAACACAUUAGAUGUAAGACUGCAAUUUUUUAAAGAAGACAGAAGUACUCACUCUGCUUCAUAAUAAGACAGUAAAAAAGAGUGAAGAACUCAGUAAUGUAAUGCUUGAAAUUGUAAGAUAUUGAGAUUUGUUAGAUAAAAGGUGGGGGGUGGAUGUUUCCUGAGAGUAAAAUAUUUUUAUUAAAUUUUAAAACUCCUGUGUUGUUUAAGACAGGACUGAAAAUAAACAAACAAAAAGAAGCAGAAGUUGCCAUAUUUAUUCUGGUUUAAGUUAUAAAGAGCUGUGAUGCUUUCUUUUCUAAAUUUCAAUAUUUUUUAAAAAUUACAAAUGAAAGAAAACUCAUGUUACCUGGAAAAAAAUAGUAUACAACUGCAAAUCUACUAACAUAAUAAUUCAAUUUUUUGGAAUUCCUAAGCAGUUUAAGGUUCAAAUCUGCAUGUCAACUAAAUUCAGGAAGAUAUGAUAAUCAAAAAAAAAAAAAAAAGAGGAGCUCGAUUGAUUUCCAUAUGGUUACACUUUGGCAUAGAUUUCUUGUUGGGUACACCACUGAAAAGGAUCUUAAUUGUUUAUUGAUUUAAUUUAGGAAGUCAAUUACCUGCUUUGAUAGAAUCAAAUUAUGGAGUUCAAGCAACAACUGGUCUAUCUAUUUUUUCAGUAAUAGUAUCUUAUAAACAUAAGAGAGUUUCUGACAAGGGUUAAUCCAUCAUGGGAAAAUUUUUCAGUCACAAAAGUUCUUGUUAAAUUGAAAGUUUAAAAAAAAAGCUAGUUUUUCAUCUGGGACUCUGCUUACUGUUAAAUAAUUUCACAAGAAAUUGGACUGAUUUGGUACCUCUUCUUAUGGAAAGAGCAGUUUAAUGUGGUUCUUUGAGCCAUCUCACUAAUUUUAAUACUAGAAAAAAGUGGAAUUUAGAUCUUAAGAAGUCACAUGAAUUGAAUUAAAAAUGAAAGAGUUAUAUGAAUCUCAGAAUAGACUCACUUUAAAUUUUAACUGAUUUUUUUGCCUGAAUUAUGAAAGUUUUUAGGUCUGCAUUAACUAAUAUGCUGUUUGCAGUACAGUCUGACUAAGUGAACUCUGUUGGUAGAUUGUGUAUUGGUUUAGGAGCUUGUUUUUAAAUAUUUUGCUAGGUGGACAAAUGAGACAAACAUCUCCAUAGAAUGUAUUUUUUCCUUAGGUAUAAAGAUAAGCAGAGCUCCAGCCAGGGCCAAGGGAAAGUGCUUGGCACCCAAGGCAUAGGACAAAGGUGCCCAACUCAGCUUCCUCACAGUGAUUUCUCUCAGCAGUAUGAUUCAUGGUGGCCCAGCUGCACCAUUAGCAAAGCUGGCCUUGAGCACAAGCAGCCAUAGCCCAGGUGGAUUAAGGUUGCAGUUUGAUAGUCUGCUCAGGGCCCUAAAAAUAACUUAAUGUUUCAAAUAUUUUUCUUCGCUCCCAUGACUUUCUUUGCUAAUGAUUCUAUUACUCAAAGAAAGAGGAAAAUACGUAUUUUGUUGAGAGACAUGCAGUGUGUGAAAUGCCUCACUGAUUGUUUCACUGAUGUCCUGUGUACACUGAGGUGCAAAUUAUUGGCAUUUCUCUUACAAAAAAAUCUGCAUUAGAGAAAAUUGUAUUUAUUUGGGUUUGAAAACUUGGAGAGAAAAUCAAUUUUGCUAGUUAUGAUUUGUCUGAAUGAGCUCACAUAAGCCAAAUAGUUAAGUAGCCAGAUAUAAUUUUAAUAAAGGAACCAUUCAAUUACUCCUUAAAUGCAGGCUGAAUUUCAUGAUGAGGAUUCUAAACCAGACUGAUUUCAAUCACCUUCAGCCGUUUGUGUCAGAAGAAUAACAAAGAACUAUGUUUCUUCAAUGAAUGAUAAAUCAAAGGAUCUGGUAGGCCUUUCAUUUAAUGUCCCAUCCAAUACUUGUUUCCAUUAGUCAACAAAGAAUAAGUGUUCCCUUUCAAUUUAUUAGCACUUAAAAAUCUAUUGCUUGUCCUGGUAAAGAGUGGCAACCUGUAAAGAGGGAAUACAUUGUUUUUAGUUGUUUUUAUUCCAACUUGGUUUUAUUUUGUGGGUGUUAAAUAAUCCAGAGAGCAUGUGAAAUAAGAACAGUAUUGUUUUUUCUGUUUAACUUUACUCCUUGUGAUAGCAUAAGUAUCGUUUCCAUCUAACUUCUGUUUUAAUGGCAAAGUUAGUUUACUUUGAAGUGUGUUGAAAAAGGGCAGUAAAAACAAAAAUACUGAACCUGUACAAGCCAAUUUAUAUUGUUUCACAUUGAAUAUGAAUUUGAAGUUAAAAGUUCUGAAAGAUGAGUAAAUCCUAUGUAUGUUUUUAUAUAUCUAUAUGCAUGUUCCUGGCAUGCCCAUAGGAGGGAGUUAUUUGUCUAAUUAUUUAACCCUAGAUAGGAAGAAUUAGAGUUUUUGUUCUCCCCCAGAGAUAAUUUUUAUGUAAAAUUUAAUGCUAGUUCUAGACUUAAUAUUGUCAGACUGUUGUAUUUUGAAAAAUUGGUUAUGAACUUUAAAUAAAUACAAGAGAAGA